rnacentral:rRNA from 1 species
CGGGGUGAGUAAUGUCUGGGAAACUGCAUGAUGGAGGGGGAUAACUACUGGAAACGGUAGCUAAUACCGCAUAACGUCGCAAGACCAAAGAGGGGGACCUUCGGGCCUCUUGCCAUCGGAUGUGCCCAGAUGGGAUUAGCUAGUAGGUGGGGUAACGGCUCACCUAGGCGACGAUCCCUAGCUGGUCUGAGAGGAUGACCAGCCACACUGGAACUGAGACACGGUCCAG